AAAAUGAGUGUACAGAAAAUUUCAGAAAAAAAAUUAAAGAACAUAAGGAAUUGUUCAUCCACAAUGACUCGGAUGACCCAUUACUGAUGGAGGUGAGAAGGGAAAAUCCUGUGCAGGAUUCCUUGGCCUUCAUCAGUAUCAGCCAAGAUGAUCUGCACAGCCCACUAAGGAUAUCUUUCACUGAUGAGGACGGUUUUGAUCUUGGGGGAUUGAGACGGGAAUUUUGGAGUCUCUAUCUCCACAAGAUAACUAGUUCUGUAUUUGUUACAGGAAAACCAGGAUGCCAAACCUUGCGUGACAACUUUAUUGCAAGGACCCAGAAUAUUUUUUUUCAUCUGGGACAGCUGGUCGCCUUAUCCAUCAUUCAAGAUGGGCCAGGUCUUCCCAUCUUUAGUGAAAUAGUUACAGACUAUAUCUUGCUUGGGAAACCCUGUAUUUUAAAUGUAGAUGAUUUGCCAGAGGGUUUAAAGAAUACCAUUGUCAUGAUGCAAGAUUGCACUUCAGAACCUGACCUACAGAAUAUGUACUCUGGUAUAUUUGAUGAAGCUGUCGAUGCCAGAUUUAUAAUUCCAACUUCAUCAUUUAAUUAAAAACAUGUAAACAUCCUUCAGGCUGCGUUAUUGGAGACCCAACUUAACAAGUGUAAGAAAGAACUUGAUCAGUUUAUCAAAGGAUUAGACACUCACCAAGUUUUAAGCCUGUUAAAACAGGAUGUCAACAUUGCCUGUGCUAGGACACUGUUCAGUGGAAGAGUCAAACCUUUAACAGUCCAAACAUUAAGAAAUCUGUUGAAGUUCAAGUACGAUACAGGGAAUGCUGCCUUAGACCAAAGGGCAUCCGGUCAAGGAUUUUUAACAUUUCUUCAGGCCACUAAAGGUGAGUAUUUAGAGCUAAACCAAUUUAUUGACAUACAGCAUGAUCAGACGAUAUUGAUUUGAUAUUUGGUAUAUAUAGUUUCAUCAUGACCAGUUACAGAUCAAGUUCAAAUUUUAUUUGGUUCAGAUGUUUGU